UGUCAGGGCCCACUGAGCACUCACGACUGCGCUAGAGGCUGGAGCGCCACAGUCCAGGAGGGUAGGUCAAGCCCCCAAUGUUCCCCCCAGCUGUCUGGUAGACUCAAGUGCCAACCCCUAUGCCGGGCCCUACAGCGUGUGGGAGGAGGCCUCCCUCGGAGUCUGCAUGUGCCAGAUAAGAUGCCUGCUGUGCUACCCCGAGCUGGCCUCCCACAGACUGCAUGGAGCCCUUGCGCAGGGCAGCCUGGCUGGGGUCCGCUGUGGGUCUUCUGGGCCAAGCGGGGACCCAGCAGGGCCUACCUCAUGGACAGAUGAGGUAUCCUGACUCCCAAACGGGGCUCUGCCCCUCACAGAACGGAGCUACCAAGGAGCUUUGGCUGUUCAACAACAAUAUAUAGAGCAGUCACCUGCUGGGAACACAGUGACAAAUCCAACCAUCGCUGGCUAGGAGUCUCAAUUGCAUAGGACAAAAGAUCUCGACUGUGGCGUCCUGUGCUCCAGAUGCUAUAUGAGGGAGAAGAGAGACACACUCUCGUCAAGGAGAGCAGGGACGGAGAUGCCGUCUUGUCUGGGACCUCAUUGGACCCACCCAGCAGUCCUGGGUGGGAUACGGACAGAUGGGGACCAAGUCAGCACGUGGAGCAGAGUCAAGCUACUGCAUCUGAUUCUGGCCUCCACCACGCUCCUGCUCGAGGACCUAAGGCAGGUCUCAGAAAAUCUGGAGAAGGCUGAAAAACUAACAUUGCAGUCAAAGGCGGGGACACUGGCUCUGACUGCCACCCCGCCACCACCCCCCCCCAAACAACUCUGGGUCAGGGAACCUGGGCCUGCCCAAUACCUCCCACUCCCCCAAGCCUGUCUCCUGUGGCUUUAAGCUGCGUUCAUGGGUGGCUGCUGAGUUGAGCCGGCUUCUCCUGUAUGAGAACAGGAGCAUGGGGACCAGGGGCUCCCGGGUAUCCCAGGAGCUGCAAGGUCACAAGCAUCCAGAGCGGGCAGCAGGGAGGCAGGAACGAAGAGCAUGGGCUGAAAGAAAGGGACCCUAGCUUUGCACCUGCCCACUGUGUGACCCUGGCCAUGUGAGUUGACCUCUCUGAGCCCCAUUUCCAAUUGUAGAGAACCUGUCUUUCACCCAAUGUAAUGAUUGUAGGAGAAACACCAAAUGAAUAUCUCAUAGAUGCUAAGGAGGUAUUUAAUAAAAAUCCAACAUCCAUUCCUAAUUUUAAAGAGUUGACUAAAAUAGGAAUAGAUUUUAAUGCUUUCACAUGAUAAAAAUAUAUAAAUAUAUGACACCAAAGCCAGCAUUAUAUUCACUGGUGAGAUACUAGAUGCACUCCCAUUAACUUCUUGAAUGAGACAAGGAUUUCCUGUCACCCCUACUACUUAACGCUGCUUUGGGGGAACUAACCCACGCAAAUAGACAGGACACACAAAUAAGAGGAGUAAGUGCUAGAAGUGCGGAGGGAAAAUUCCACUGUUUCUAGAUUAUUACCUAGAGAAGCUAAGAGAAUCUAUUAGAAACUUUAAGGAGAUUAGAAAAAAAUUGGUAUUUAAAAAUCAAGUGAAACUAGUCUGUGUGGUAUUAUAAAGAUGGAUACAUGUCAUCAUCCAUUUGUCCAAACCUAUAGGAUGUACAGCACCAAGAGUGACCCUAAUGGACUUUGGGUGACAAUGAUGUGUCAAUGUCGGCUCAUCCGUUGUAAUAAAUGCCCCUCUGGUGGGAGACGUUGAGAAUGGGGGAGGUGGUGCAUGUCGGGGUACAGAGGGUAUAAGGGAAAUCUCCAUACCUUUUGCUCAGUUUUGUUGUGAGCCUAAAACUGCUCCAGAAAAACAAAGUCUAUUAAAAAAUCAAUUGCCAGGGAGACCAAUUAGCUCAGUUACUUCGAGCACGGUGCUCUUAAAAACAAGGUUGCCGGUUCGAUUCCCACAUGGGCCACUGUGAGCUGCGCCCUCCACAAGGAGAUUGAAACAACUACUUGACUUGGAGCUGAUGGGUCCUGGAAAAACACACUUAAAUAAAUAAAAGUUUUGGUUUUUUUUAAAUCAAUUGCCUACAUAUAGAUACAGAUACAUAGUAAUCAAUUAGAAUCUGUCUCUGAAGAAAAGACCUUAUUUAUAAUAGCAUUUAAGAAAAAAA